AACCUCCGCAAUGUGAGAAAUCGCGACGGGGGGAUCCCAAGUGCCAUUCUUAACGGGAUGGCUUUUCAUUAGUGUAAAAAGCUUUUGGAAUAAGAGCUGGGCAAGACCGGUGCCAGCCGCCGCGGUAACACCGGCAGCUCUAGUGGUAGCAAUUUUUAUUGGGCCUAAAGCGUCCGUAGCCGGUUUAAUAAGUCUCUGGUGAAAUCCUGCAGCUUAACUGUGGGAAUUGCUGGAGAUACUAUUAGACUUGAGAUCGGGAGAGGUUAGAGGUACUCCCAGGGUAGAGGUGAAAUUCUGUAAUCCUGGGAGGACCGCCUGUUGCGAAGGCGUCUAACUGGAACGAUUCUGACGGUGAGGGACGAAAGUUAGGGGCGCGAACCGGAUUAGAUACCCGGGUAGUCCUAACUGUAAACGAUGCGGACUUGGUGUUGGGGUGGCUUUGAGCUGCUCCAGUGCCGAAGGGAAGCUGUUAAGUCCGCCGCCUGGGAAGUACGGUCGCAAGACUGAAACUUAAGGAAUU
rnacentral:rRNA from 1 species